rnacentral:lncRNA from 1 species
CCUGGGUAUUGGAUACCGGAAGCCCUUAUCAUAUUUGCAAUUCGAUGUAGGGUCUGCAAGUCAGUAAGAGAUUUGAUGAAGGCAAGAGGUUCCUGAACGUUGGAGAUGGAAGCAAAGUUUCAGUUCUAGCAUUAAGAAUCAUGAACCUUGUAAUCAAUUCUCGAAAUAUAAUUCUGAGUGAAUGUCACUAUUGUCCAAGCUUUUUAUUAAAUAUUAUUUCUGUAAGCCUUUUGGCCAUGAACGGUUAUCAAUUUUUAAUAAAAGAAAAUGUUUGCAAUAUCAUUUUGAAUGGUGUUAC